rnacentral:rRNA from 1 species
CAUGGUUGUCGUCAGCUCGUGUCGUGAGAUGUUGGUUAAGUCCCGCAACGAGCGCAACCCCUAUUGUUAGUUGCCAUCAUUCAGUUGGGCACUCUAGCGAGACUGCCGGUAAUAAACCGGAGGAAGGUGGGGAUGACGUCAAAUCAUCAUGCCCCUUAUGACCUGGGCUACACACGUGCUACAAUGGUUGGUACAACGAGUUGCGAGUCGGUGACGGCGAGCUAAUCUCUUAAAGCCAAUCUCAGUUCGGAUUGUAGGCUGCAACUCGCCUACAUGAAGUCGGAAUCGCUAGUAAUCGCGGAUCAGCACGCCCGCGGUUCCGAAUACGUUCCGGCCUU